rnacentral:rRNA from 1 species
UCUGGGACAAGCCCUGGAAACGGGGUCUAAUACCGGAUACCACUACCGCAGGCAUCUGUGGUGGUUGAAAGCUCCGGCGGUGAAGGAUGAGCCCGCGGCCUAUCAGCUUGUUGGUGAGGUAAUGGCUCACCAAGGCGACGACGGGUAGCCGGCCUGAGAGGGCGACCGGCCACACUGGGACUGAGACACGGCCCAGACUCCUACGGGAGGCAGCAGUGGGGAAUAUUGCACAAUGGGCGAAAGCCUGAUGCAGCGACGCCGCGUGAGGGAUGACGGCCUUCGGGUUGUAAACCUCUUUCAGCAGGGAAGAAGCGCAAGUGACGGUACCUGCAGAAGAAGCGCCGGCUAACUACGUGCCAGCAGCCGCGGUAAUACGUAGGGCGCAAGCGUUGUCCGGAAUUAUUGGGCGUAAAGAGCUCGUAGGCGGCUUGUCACGUCGGGUGUGAAAGCCCGGGGCUUAACCCCGGGUCUGCAUUCGAUACGGGCUAGCUAGAGUGUGGUAGGGGAGAUCGGAAUUCCUGGUGUAGCGGUGAAAUGCGCAGAUAUCAGGAGGAACACCGGUGGCGAAGGCGGAUCUCUGGGCCAUUACUGACGCUGAGGAGCGAAAGCGUGGGGAGCGAACAGGAUUAGAUACCCUGGUAGUCCACGCCGUAAACGGUGGGAACUAGGUGUUGGCGACAUUCCACGUCGUCGGUGCCGCAGCUAACGCAUUAAGUUCCCCGCCUGG